AGCGCAAACGGUUUAUUAAGUCUGAUGUGAAAGCCCGGAGCUCAACUCCGGAAUGGCAUUGGAAACUGGUUAACUUGAGUGCAGUAGAGGUAAGUGGAACUCCAUGUGUAGCGGUGGAAUGCGUAGAUAUAUGGAAGAACACCAGUGGCGAAGGCGGCUUACUGGACUGCAACUGACGUUGAGGCUCGAAAGUGUGGUAGCAAACA
rnacentral:rRNA from 1 species